rnacentral:rRNA from 1 species
GACGAACGCUGGCGGCGUGCUUAACACAUGCAAGUCGAACGGAAAGGCCCUGCUUUUGUGGGGUGCUCGAGUGGCGAACGGGUGAGUAACACGUGAGUAACCUGUCCUUGACUUUGGGAUAACUUAAGGAAACUGGGGCUAAUACCGGCUAGGAGCUCCUGCUGCUUGGUGGGGGUUGGAAAGUUUCGGCGGUUGGGGAUGGACUCGCGGCUUAUCAGCUUGUUGGUGGGGUAGUGGCUUACCAAGGCUUUGACGGGUAGCAGGCCUGAGAGGGUGACCGGCCACAUUGGGACUGAGAUGCGGCCCAGACUACUACGGGAGGCAGCAGUGGGGAAGAGUGCACUGUGGGCUGAGGCCUGGUGCAGCAACGCCACGUGGGGGAUGACAUCCUUCGGGUAGUAAAGCACAUUCGCCUUAGACGAGGCGUGAAUGACGGUAAUGGGUGAAGAAGCACCGGCUAACUACGUG